rnacentral:rRNA from 1 species
GGGAUUCCCCUAGUAACGGCGAGUGAAGCGGGAACAGCUCAAAUUUGAAAUCUGGCCCUCGGGUCCGAAUUGUAAUUUGCAGAGGAUGCUUUUGGUUAGGUACUUUCCGAGUUCCCUGGAACGGGACGCCUUAGAGGGUGAGAGCCCCGUACGGUUGGAUACCGAGCCUUUGUAAAGCUCCUUCGACGAGUCGAGUAGUUUGGGAAUGCUGCUCUAAAUGGGAGGUAAAUUUCUUCUAAAGCUAAAUACCGGCCAGAGACCGAUAGCGCACAAGUAGAGUGAUCGAAAGAUGAAAAGCACUUUGAAAAGAGGGUUAAAUAGCACGUGAAAUUGUUGAAAGGGAAGCGUUUAUGACCAGACUUUUUCCAGGCGGAUCAUCCGGUGUUCUCACCGGUGCACUUCGUCUGGUUGAGGCCAGCAUCGGUUUUCGUAGAGGGAUAAAAGCAGUAGGAAUGUGGUUCCUCCGGGAAUGUUAUAGCCUAUUGUAUAAUACCUUUAUGGGGACCGAGGUUCGCGCUCUGCAAGGAUGCUGGCGUAAUGGUCAUCAACGA